UACAGCUAUAUCACUUUGAGACACCGGUUCUCGUCCGAUCACCGAAGUUAAGCAACAUCGAGCCUGGUCAGUACCGAGAUAGGUGACCGCUUGGGAAUACCAGGUGCCGUAC
rnacentral:rRNA from 1 species